ACGGAGGGUGCAAACGUUGUUCGGAAUCACUGGGCAUAAAGCGCACGUAGGCGGCCAUUCAAGUCAGAUGUGAAAGCCCACGGCUCAACCGUGGAACUGCAUUUGAAACUGAUUGGCUAGAGGACGGUUGGGGUGAGUGGAACUCCUGGUGGAGCGGUGAAAUGCGUAGAUAUCAGGAGGAACACCGGUGGCGAAAGCGGCUCACUGGACCGUAACUGACGCUCAGGUGCGAAAGCUAGGGUAGCGAACGGG
rnacentral:rRNA from 1 species